rnacentral:rRNA from 1 species
AAAUUGAAGAGUUUGAUCAUGGCUCAGAUUGAACGCUGGCGGCAGGCCUAACACAUGCAAGUCGAGCGGUAGCACAGAGAGCUUGCUCUCGGGUGACGAGCGGCGGACGGGUGAGUAAUGUCUGGGAAACUGCCUGAUGGAGGGGGAUAACUACUGGAAACGGUAGCUAAUACCGCAUAAUGUCGCAAGACCAAAGUGGGGGACCUUCGGGCCUCAUGCCAUCAGAUGUGCCCAGAUGGGAUUAGCUAGUAGGUGGGGUAACGGCUCACCUAGGCGACGAUCCUAGCUGGUCUGAGAGGAUGACCAGCCACACUGGAACUGAGACACGGUCCAGACUCCUACGGGAGGCAGCAGUGGGGAAUAUUGCACAAUGGGCGCAAGCCUGAUGCAGCCAUGCCGCGUGUGUGAAGAAGGCCUUCGGGUUGUAAAGCACUUUCAGCGGGGAGGAAGGCGGUGAGGUUAAUAACCUCAUCGAUUGACGUUACCCGCAGAAGAAGCACCGGCUAACUCCGUGCCAGCAGCCGCGGUAAUACGGAGGGUGCAAGCGUUAAUCGGAAUUACUGGGCGUAAAGCGCACGCAGGCGGUCUGUCAAGUCGGAUGUGAAAUCCCCGGGCUCAACCUGGGAACUGCAUUCGAAACUGGCAGGCUAGAGUCUUGUAGAGGGGGGUAGAAUUCCAGGUGUAGCGGUGAAAUGCGUAGAGAUCUGGAGGAAUACCGGUGGCGAAGGCGGCCCCCUGGACAAAGACUGACGCUCAGGUGCGAAAGCGUGGGGAGCAAACAGGAUUAGAUACCCUGGUAGUCCACGCCGUAAACGAUGUCGAUUUGGAGGUUGUGCCCUUGAGGCGUGGCUUCCGGAGCUAACGCGUUAAAUCGACCGCCUGGGGAGUACGGCCGCAAGGUUAAAACUCAAAUGAAUUGACGGGGGCCCGCACAAGCGGUGGAGCAUGUGGUUUAAUUCGAUGCAACGCGAAGAACCUUACCUGGUCUUGACAUCCACAGAACUUUCCAGAGAUGGAUUGGUGCCUUCGGGAACUGUGAGACAGGUGCUGCAUGGCUGUCGUCAGCUCGUGUUGUGAAAUGUUGGGUUAAGUCCCGCAACGAGCGCAACCCUUAUCCUUUGUUGCCAGCGGUUAGGCCGGGAACUCAAAGGAGACUGCCAGUGAUAAACUGGAGGAAGGUGGGGAUGACGUCAAGUCAUCAUGGCCCUUACGACCAGGGCUACACACGUGCUACAAUGGCAUAUACAAAGAGAAGCGACCUCGCGAGCAAGCGGACCUCAUAAAGUAUGUCGUAGUCCGGAUUGAGUCUGCAACUCGACUCCAUGAAGUCGGAAUCGCUAGUAAUCGUAGAUCAGAAUGCUACGGUGAAUACGUUCCCGGGCCUUGUACACACCGCCCGUCACACCAUGGGAGUGGGUUGCAAAAGAAGUAGGUAGCUUAACCUUCGGGAGGGCGCUUACCACUUUGUGAUUCAUGACUGGGGUGAAGUCGUAACAAGGUAACCGUAGGGGAACCUGCGGUUGGAUCACCUCCUUACCUUAAAGAA